UACGUAGGGUGCAAGCGUUAAUCGGAAUUACUGGGCGUAAAGCGUGCGCAGGCGGUGAUGUAAGACAGAUGUGAAAUCCCAGGGCUCAACCUUGGAACUGCAUUUGUGACUGCAUCGCUGGAGUGCGGCAGAGGGGGAUGGAAUUCCGCGUGUAGCAGUGAAAUGCGUAGAUAUGCGGAGGAACACCGAUGGCGAAGGCAAUCCCCUGGGCCUGCACUGACGCUCAUGCACGAAAGCGUGGGGAGCAAACAGG
rnacentral:rRNA from 1 species